UUCAGGGGUAAACCUGAGAAGCCCGAAAGGUCGAAAGGGGAAAUUCAUUCGCGUUUCGGCCGCCGAAGUGGGAUGGUCGAGUGACGGACGGCGUAUUCGCGUCGUCCGCGCCUUUCGUUCUUCGAAUCGGCGUCGAACGCGUGCACUUUUCCCCUAGUAGGACGUCGCGAUCCGUUGGGUGUCGGUCUACGGUUCGCGGUGGUGCCCGUGCGGUCGCUUUGCGGCGUAUCGCACGGACCCGCGGUGUCCCGGCCGACUCGCUCGACGGUAUACAGAUGGCGCGGGGCCGCUAAUAAUUCAAUUAGCGUUCGACCCGUGGCAAGCGCGUUCGGUGAGAGAGACGGCGAUCGGACCUGGUGCCGGUCCCGUCCACGAACGACUGUUGGCCACGGUGUUCUUUCUCGAACAGACCUCGUUCGAAACGCCGAUCUGCGACGCUAUAGCUUUGGGUACUUUCAGGACCCACGGACCAAGGAGUCUAGCAUGUGCGCGAGUCAUUGGGACAUAACUAAACCUAAAGGCGUAAUGAAAGUGAAGGUCCGCCUCGCGCGGAUCGAGGGAGGAUGAGCGGGUCAUUAUUAAUAUUUUUUAAUAAUGAUGGACGCCUUCAAAAGCGACCGCUCCGCACUCCCGGGGCGUCUCGUUCUCAUCGCGAGAAGAGGCGCACCAAGAGC
rnacentral:rRNA from 1 species